rnacentral:rRNA from 1 species
UACGUAGGGUGCAAGCGUUGUCCGGAAUUAUUGGGCGUAAAGAGCUCGUAGGCGGUGUGUCGCGUCGGCCGUGAAAACCUGGGGCCCAACUCUGGGCGUGCGGUCGAUACGGGCAUCACUGGAGUUCGGCAGGGGAGACUGGAAUUCCUGGUGUAGCGGUGAAAUGCGUAGAUAUCCGGAGGAACACCAGUGGCGAAAGCGGCCACCUGGACUGUACCUGACGCUCAAACGCGAAAGCUAGGGGAGCGAACGGG